UGGGGAGUUUUGGACAAUGGGCGCAAGCCUGAUCCAGCAAUGCCGCGUGCAGGAUGAAGGCCUUCGGGUUGUAAACUGCUUUUGUACGGAGCGAAAAGGUCUGCCCUAAUACGGUGGGCUCAUGACGGUACCGUAAGAAUAAGCACCGGCUAACUACGUGCCAGCAACCGCGGUAAUACGUAGGGUGCGAGCGUUAAUCGGAAUUACUGGGCGUAAAGCGUGCGCAGGCGGUUUGCUAAGACCGAUGUGAAAUCCCCGGGCUCAACCUGGGAACUGCAUUGGUGACUGGCAGGCUAGAGUAUGGCAGAGGGGGGUAGAAUUCCACGUGUAGCAGUGAAAUGCGUAGAAAUGUGGAGGAACACCGAUGGCGAAGGCAAUCCCCUGGACCUGUACUGACGCUCAUGCACGAAAGCGUGGGGAGCAAACA
rnacentral:rRNA from 1 species